UGAGGCUUUAGUGGCGCAGCUAACGCGAUAAGUAGACCGCCUGGGGAGUACGGUCGCAAGACUAAAACUCAAAUGAAUUGACGGGGGCCCGCACAAGCGGUGGAGCAUGUGGUUUAAUUCGAUGCAACGCGAAGAACCUUACCUGGCCUUGACAUACAGAGAACUUUCCAGAGAUGGAUUGGUGCCUUCGGGAACUCUGAUACAGGUGCUGCAUGGCUGUCGUCAGCUCGUGUCGUGAGAUGUUGGGUUAAGUCCCGCAACGAGCGCAACCCUUUUCCUUAUUUGCCAGCACUUCGGGUGGGAACUUUAAGGAUACUGCCAGUGACAAACUGGAGGAAGGCGGGGACGACGUCAAGUCAUCAUGGCCCUUACGGCCAGGGCUACACACGUGCUACAAUGGUCGGUACAAAGGGUUGCUACUGCGCGAGCAGAUGCUAAUCUCAAAAAGCCGAUCGUAGUCCGGAUCGCAGUCUGCAACUCGACUGCGUGAAGUCGGAAUCGCUAGUAAUCGCGGAUCAGAAUGCCGCGGUGAAUACGUUCCCGGGCCUUGUACACACCGCCCGUCACACCAUGGGAGUUUGUUGCACCAGAAGUAGGUAGUCUAACCUUAGGGAGGACGCUUACCACGGUGUGGCCGAUGACUGGGGUGAAGUCGUAACAAGGUAGCCGUAAGCUUGGAUCCCGGG
rnacentral:rRNA from 1 species